UGGGAUAUCGCCAAGCGGUAAGGCACUGGACUCUGACUCCAGCACUCGUAGGUUCGAAUCCUACUAUCCCAGCCA
rnacentral:tRNA from 1 species